rnacentral:lncRNA from 10 species
UUACUAUCGGGACCUUCCGCAUCCUGCUGAUGUUUUGUUGCUUAGGAUAUGAAUGGCUGAGCGGAGGCUGUAAAACCUGGCACUCUGCUUGGGUAUGAGGUUCUUCCUGCCAUCCUGCCAUCAUUUGUUUUUUAUGUUUUGUCGCCAAAAGUGACCUUGAGGAACCCUGGGAGCUCAGGAAGGAAGGAGCGCCCAGAAGCAGGGACAGGGAGCUGGUUGGGGAGGACCAGAAAUCAGGUUAUCAAUACUCUGGCUGACCAUCGUCAUCGUGGGACUGACUUUGGUGGAAGUCCUUGGUUACUUAUCAUUACUGUGUUUCUGAGAAGUUAUAAAUUUGCCAUCUCCCUCUGCACAAGUUACCUUUGUGUGUCUUUCCUGAAGACUAUCUUCCCGUCUCAAAAUGGACAUGAUGGAUCCACGGAUGUACAGCAGAGAGCCAGGAGGUCCAACCGCCGUAGACAGGAAGGAAUUAAAAUUGUCCUGGAAGACAUCUUUACUUUAUGGAGACAGGUGGAAACCAAAGUUCGAGCUAAAAUCCGUAAGAUGAAGGUGA